GACGAACGCUGGCGGCGUGCUUAACACAUGCAAGUCGAACGGUGAAGCGCCUUCCUUUUUGGUGGGUGUGGAUGAGUGGCGAACGGGUGAGUAACACGUGAGUAACCUGCCCCCUUCUUCUGGAUAACCGCAUGAAAGUGUGGCUAAUACGGGAUAUUCUGGGUCUGUCGCAUGAUGGGUCUGGGAAAGAUAUUGUUUCGGUGGGGGAUGGGCUCGCGGCCUAUCAGCUUGUUGGUGGGGUGAUGGCCUACCAAGGCGGUGACGGGUAGCCGGCCUGAGAGGGUGGACGGUCACACUGGGACUGAGGCACGGCCCAGACUCCUACGGGAGGCAGCAGUGGGGAAUAUUGCACAAUGGGCGCAAGCCUGAUGCAGCGACGCCGCGUGAGGGAUGGAGGCCUUCGGGUUGUGAACCUCUUUCGCCAGUGAAGCAGGCCUGUCUCGUUUGUGGGUGGGUUGACGGUAGCUGGAUAAGAAGCGCCGGCUAACUACGUG
rnacentral:rRNA from 1 species